rnacentral:lncRNA from 1 species
CUGAAGCUCCCUGUAUCACGUCUUUUCAAUUCUUGUCUUUAUUUCCCAGUUACCUUGAUAAGCUUUCAAUAUAUUGACUGUAAUUCAAGUAGAGAUGGGUUGAUUAGGUUAAUGAGUUUCUAUGUGCUAAAUAUAGUGGGUUCAAGAUCAAAUGUGUUUUUUAUUAUGGAGCUCUCUACGUCAAUAGGACUUGGUUCCACUCCACAAAUUUCAUUAUAAGAAUG